UGCUGCUGCUGCUGCUGCUGCUGCUGCCGCUGCUGCUACGACCGACGCCGGUGAAGAUCUUAAUCCCAUCGAACGGGGUUCACGCGGGUACCGAUGUUUGUUUGCGAUACAGACCCGACAAGGAGACGGAUUCCAGCGCCACGACAAACACAUACGCUGUGGGCCACACCACCAGCAGCAGCUGUUUCAAGAUUACAGCCCACUUAGUCACUCUCGGUGCUGUGUUGGGUGUUGUGUUUAUUGCUGUCGACCACUGCGACUGCGAUUUGGCGUAACAAUUUGGCCUUCGGUGUGGACGAGCGCCGAGGACGGCUUAUCGAUCGAUCGGACGAGCGUCUACGUUGAGUGUGACGUGGCCGGGCAAAGAACACCGCGUUACCGCGCCGAUAGGUCGAUCACACUGGGAUAUAGAGCGACAGAUUGAUUGUAGGUGCUUCCGUUUUCCCUUUCCGUUGGAUCGUUUAUUUUUAUCCUCCAGCUCUAAACGGCAAUCGAUAAGGAGCGCGAGCCAGUCACGGUAUCUACGCCAUUACAGCGUAGAGCGGGGCAAGAUUGUGCACUUAGUUGUAUUGGAGUCAGUCAAAUGUGAAUUGAUAGCGUCUUCAACAAGACGCCAGAUGAACGAUUGGUCUUUUACUAAACGAAUCAAGGUAUCAGAAUUUGUAAAUGAAUUUUGAGAAAAGACCGUUUCCUCGAUUAGUUCCAGUUUGCUAUCUCAUUGCACUGGUGAGUUGCAUUCAAAAUUGAGUUGAAUAUUCAUGCAGGAUUUCGACAAAUAUCCGUUACAGUAGAAUUGAAUUGAAUUUCUUCAUUCUCGAUUAUCAUAGAAUUUAGUUUUUCUAGAUAGAAAGAUUCAUAAAAUUUACAUAUGCAUCCUGUUCUGCAAACUUUUGCGCCACAAUGAAAGCACAGUCUCUACUCCAAGUUGGUUUGUGUUCAAUAUUUUAUUCGAAGUUCCGUUGAAUUUAACAGAGCACUGUCUGUAGCUGUAAAGAUGCUUUCGAGAUUUGAAUUUAGGCCGAACUUACCUGCUGUGUAAGAUUUCAUCAUAACACACUCUAUCGAACAUGUGGCAGCGCUAGCAGCAUCACGACAGAUUCGAAUUUGAUAUACAGCAGCGUACAGUGUAGAUAUUUCCUGUUCUAGAUAACAGCAAGAUAAGGCCGUUGGGUUUCCUAGUUGCGAGAUCCGGGUCUCGGUUGAUGAUAACACCGGUCGAGACGGUGCCCACAGACCGGUUUAGUAUUGUUGCAACGCGAUUAAUGUGACUUUUACACGAGGGAUUCCGGCUGUUUGAGGUGCAUUUAACACGGGCAUCGCUGACACCGUAUAUUUGCAGUAGAAUUAGACUCGUCUAGUACUCGUUGGGUUAAAUGCAUACUGCUUUUGUUUGGAGUCAAAUAAUCACAAUUCAGCAUUCAGCGUUGCUAGUGGCAGUUGAUCGAAAACAUUAACUUAUUUUGCUGCAUAAGUUAAUGUAUGCUAUAUUCAAUUGAAGUAGUGAACUCACACAUUCUCCAACCAUUUUAUUUUCUAUCACGUACUCAUCAGUUUAGCAAAGAACAGUAGGUUUCAUGAUAUCUGCGAGAUCGACGGAAAAUAAAGCUUUUGUCUUGUAUCGUGUUUUUAAUGCUGAUCACCGGACUUUUCAACAAAAUAUUAACGGAGUUGUUCGAUUUUAUUCUAACUUUUAUUCGUAUUUUUCACAUUUUUCCCAAAUGGUGAACAUAUAAACAAUAUGGUUUAAAAUGUUAAGAUUGUAAAUUAAAAAAAGACUUAACGGAGAUGAAUCUUAUGAAUCUAAUAAUCUAAUGAAAUAAUAUCCAUUUUUGCAACGAGUGGUGCAUUAAAUUAGUAGAAACCAUAAUGGAGGGCACUUAGAACCUAAAAUUUGAUGGAAACGAAAGCCUGUUUGAUGAUACAGUAACACGAGAACUUUAUCAGAGUCACGAUUCUUUUUUUUCGUAACGAGCAUUUUCAUUUGUCAGAAAUGAUCAUGUCUCGCUCAAAAUUUGAUGAAAAACAUGUUAUGCAAUCAUGCUAGUUGAAAGCAAGAGACACUGAAAGAGUUAUCUUAACCCUUUUGUCAAAAACCAUCUCUCGCCAUCUUUGUGCGAAAAGCAUUCAAAUUAAAAAAACGCGGAAACUAAAUUAUGCUAUGCAUACAAUACUCCAGCCAGCCAAAGACUGCCAGCCCAAUAUCGAAAGAAAGAGCAUCUCUGGCACGUAGCAUGUUAAUAAAUAACGUUAAAUCAUUCUAUCAGGAACGGAAGCUAAGCACCCGUGGGGAUUUACUCUUCCCCUGAUGACCUUAAAACCAGAAGUAGCGAGUCGCGAAGCGAGACGUCUUAUCUACCGUCUCGCAUCGGUGAUACUGGCAGCUACGCGCAAUUUUGCCGCGUGGGGAAAAGUAGGGCAGCUAAAACGUAUCACAAGAGUCACUUCACCUCCUAGAGGUCCAUAUAGACAAUCUGUGUGGCGCACAGCCCUGCCAGCGCACUGCAAAUGCUAGCACUGAAGACGACCACUGAGGUCGUACCGAAGGCGGUAAUAAGCGAUCCCAUCCCGAGGGCGACGAUGAUCUGGGCGACGAAGAUCAUACCACCGACGACCGCUAUGUCCGUGGCCAGUCCUCGUUUUCGUUCGUGCGUCUCGACACCAGUGCCAUAUCGGUGCAUACUUACAGUUCCUUUGGCAUGGUACUGGCCGAGCAAGAGGAAGGGCAUGGUGAAGAGGAGCGCGUACACCAUACCACCGGUAGCACUGAGCACGAACACGGUUACCUUGUUAGGGAAGAGUGCCAUACAGCACAUACCGAUGGCAUCGAUGAACAGACCGCCACAGUACACCGUCCGUGCCUUCAACACCUUGAUCAGCUUCUCGAUCGUGAACGAGUAAGUCGAGCAGGCGAUCGAAUAGAUCGCCAUCCCGAAGCACCCAUACCGGACACCCUCGAGGAACAGCUGAUAGUCGGCGGAAGCGUUCGGGGCAGCCGGAUUGCCACCAAACACCUCCUCGCCGACAAAAUCGGUAAAGUAGAGCGCGUAGCUGAGAUGACUCAUCCAGCAGAACAGGUUCGUCAGACACAGAAUGGCGAUCGACUUGGGCAUCAUGACGAUACUUUUGAUGAAAUCUUUCGGGCUCAUGUUCAUCGAUUCUUCCUCUUCCUCCUCUUCUAGCGCACCGUCCACCGGUGGCGGUUGCUCGGCAUCUACCAGCGCGUUGUUGAUCUUCUGCGGUACCGCAUGGUCGGGCGAUUGGAUCGCUUGCAGCUGCGCCGUCAGCGUUUUGCUCACGUCCUUAAUGGUGAAGAUCUGUUGGUCGCGGCGUGCCUUCUCCUUCUUGAUCGUAGCCUCCGUCAUCGGACGCAGCAGCUCAUCGGCCUCAAGCAGUUCCAAUGGAAUCUCUCGGAAGCUCGUCAUCGAAACAAUCAGACAGAUGGCGAAGAUAAUCACGACCAGCGUGAACACCGUCUUGAUGCUACCACCGAGAAACUCCCCGAACGAGGUUUCAUCCCAGUUGAUGCCACCCAUUGCAUAUCCAAUCGAGCCACCCAAUCCGGCCAAAAUCGAGAAGGUACUGCACGCCCUUCCGUGAUCCUCUGUAAAAGGGUGUAAGGAAUUCAUUAAUGAAUGUUCUCCGUCGCGAAGUUGCAAACCUAAUCGCUACUUACCAGGUACACAAACAUCCAGCAGAUAGGCUCUCGAUGGUGUCAUACAGUUAUCCGCAUUAAAGUCCAUCAAGAUCGUACCGAUGAUGGUGAUCACGAUCGCCCACCGAUAAUCGACCCGAUGCUCCGCAAUUUCUUCGUCGAUACGAUAGAAAUUGUACGCACGGAGGGCAUCCGUCGCUGCUGUACCAUUCAAAUCCACCAACAGAGCCGUUGACGGUUCGAGAAGCGUCAGUGGAUCGACGGGUCCCAGCUCACCGAGAUCACCGAACCAGGAGCCUAUGUUUUUCCCGAACGGCACCAGUAGACAACCGAUGAUUAGACCAAUACCGAGUGCCAGCAAGACCGGUCGGCGACGGCCAAAGCGCGACCGGCAGCGAUCACUAACCGAACCGAUAACGGGCGACAUGAAGAAUCCUAUCAGCGGUGAGAUGCCCCAAACCAUCGUCAUCAGAUGGUGUUCGAUGCCGAUGCCCAGUAGAAUUGGUGAGACGAAGGCGGUUUCGGCCGAGUACACAAACUCCAUGCCCAUAAUGACGGCUGAGAUUCGAAUAAAGUCAAAGCGUGUUUUUCUCCUGCAAGGUGGAAAGGUAAAGCACCCCGGUUACAGCGAGAGGGGAACUGGAACCCGACAAAAAUAGCAACAUACCGAAACACGUGAGAAUAGUCUUGUUUUUGGCGUCGUGCGUUCUCCUCCCGGACGCGGCGCAUCUCCUGUACCACCGGAUCAUUGAUAAAGUCCGAAUGGAAAUUCGUACCACCACCGGCAACCAUUGUGAGGCUGUUCUGUCCCUUGGUCUGAAACUGUUUUCCCGGCGUAAGGCCUCUACUGCUGCUGCUGGUGCACGCUUGUGGUGCUGACCUUUGGCUGGACGAUGCAGGAAUUUGUUCUGUAAAGAAUAGAGUAAUGGUGAGCAUUUAUUAGUGGAUCCGCUUGCUGUUCGUUCGUUUCAGGUUUCGGCUACCAUAACCAGACAUGGUAGAGCAUUGAAUCCGUUGCUUGCCGCUGGAAACACGUAACGAUCGUAUUCUCGUGAAGAAUGACUGCAAUAUACUAAACUCUAAAGCGACAACAACCCGAUGUCAAUGUCCCAUCGCUUCUCGGGACAGAGUUCUAAUCGCGACCAACCAACUGUGUCACUGAUCAUCCCGUUGACCGAAUGUGUAACAGACCAACUAAUGGCUCUGCGUGCCCGUGGUAUAGCUGAUCUAUGUAAUUGAUCUCGCUCGUGUUCAGCCGUCUUCCACACAUCCGGAAUGGCCCACUGUCUCGUUACUGGUUGUCUGAAGAAUUAACUGGCAAAAAAGGACCACGCUGAUACUGUUAUCAGUUGCUCGUUGUUUCGAGAGUGUAGGAGAACGCUUGGCUAGACAUUAUAACGUUACUGCUGGACCUGGUCGAUGUAAACGUCCAUUAGCUUCCGAAACCAACGGACACUAUGUUGAUGACUUCAUAGCGUACUCUGACAGGCACCGUUAACUGCACGUUUUUACUCUUCCUCGUUGGAGUUCCUGUGUACGAGCACACAGUCUGUUCGUGAACCUAGCAGCUUAUAGUUGUUGGAAUUACUCACUUGACAUGAUGCACGUUCUUUCUUGUUUGAUUUGGACAUCAGAAAUAAAACGAAUCAAGACGAU